ACAGCAGCAGCCGCGGUAAAACGGAGGGUGCAAGCGUUAAUCGGAAUUACUGGGCGUAAAGCGCACGCAGGCGGUCUGACAAGUCAGAUGUGAAAUCCCCGGGCUUAACCUGGGAACUGCAUUUGAAACUGUCAGGCUGGAGUCUUGUAGAGGGGGGUGGAAUUCCAGGUGUAGCGGUGAAAUGCGUAGAGAUCUGGAGGAAUACCGGUGGCGAAGGCGGCCCCCUGGACAAAGACUGACGCUCAGGUGCGAAAGCGUGGGGAGCAAACAGGAUUAGAUACCCCAGUAGUCCCUGUCUCUUAUAC
rnacentral:rRNA from 1 species